CCGGUUGCAAAUUUCCAAAAAGGAGAGUAAAAUAAUUAAUGAGUCAAGGUCUCAGGAGAGACAGAAGGGUUGACAAGCAGAAAUACAGAACAAAUGGUGGUUCCUGAAACAGAGGCCAAAACAAGGAAGUGAUCUGUUCCAGUCCAAGCUUCCAAGAAAUAAAGAACUAGGUGGGGCACACUAAACAAGCCCCCAGACUCAACCACCCCA
ensembl:lncRNA TMLHE-AS1 TMLHE antisense RNA 1